rnacentral:rRNA from 1 species
CCAGACUUGCCCUCCAAUAGAUCCUCGUUAAAGGAUUUAAAGUGUACUCAUUCCGAUUACGGGGCCUCGAAAGAGUCCCGUAUCGUUAUUUUUCGUCACUACCUCCCCGUGCCGGGAGUGGGUAAUUUGCGCG